rnacentral:rRNA from 1 species
GACGAACGCUGGCGGCGUGCUUAACACAUGCAAGUCGAACGGAAAGACCCUGCUUUUGUGGGGUGCUCGAGUGGCGAACGGGUGAGUAACACGUGAGUAACCUGCCCUUGACUUUGGGAUAACUUCAGGAAACUCGGGCUAAUACCGGAUAGGAGCUCCUGCACCAUGGUGGGGGUUGGAAAGUUUCGGCGGUUGGGGAUGGACUCGCUGCUUAUUAGCUUGUUGGUCGGGUAGUGGCUUACCAAGGCUUUGACGGGUAGCCGGCCUGAGAGGGUGACCGGCCACCUUGCGCCUGCGGUACGGAGCAGACUGCUACGGGAGGCAGUAGUCGGGAAUAUUGCAGAAUGGGGGCACGCCUGAUGUAGCAACGCUGCGUGCGGGAUGAUGUCCUUCGGGUUGUAAACCGCUUUCGAAGGUGACGAAGAGUGAGUGACGGUAAUGGGUCAAGAAGCACCGGCUAACUACGUG